rnacentral:lncRNA from 1 species
GGUAUACCUUAAAAUAUAUGCUUCAUCUAACAAGCAUCAUUAAAAUACUCAAGUUUGGGUCUAUUGACCUAGGGUAUGUAUUCCUGUAUGGUAUAGAAAAGAAAGGCAACGUGAGAAGAAAUAAAUUCUUAUAAACUAGCCAGAAGUGUUUGUACUAAUUUUAUACACGGAACACUUAUGAGGACACUUGCUGCUACUUUUAUUCCUCAUAUACUACCUACCAGCAUAUGAGAGUACAAAUGACAGACAGGCCAAUUGUUCCUGGGAAUUGUUGCUUCAUUAUUCUCAAGUCACAUUUCUAAACAUCCUCCAUACCUUAGAUUUCUCAGUUUCUAGAUUGCCAUUCCACUCAGAACAGCCAGCUGAUUUCAUCAACAUGCUGCCUAUCCCAUUUUCCAGAUGGUUAAUGGGUCU